AACAAAUUGCUGUAUAAAAACGGCCAAAACUGAACAGUAUCAUACUGUUUCUAUUGAAAACGGUACUGCACCGUGAAAAACAAUGCAUUCUGGGCAAUUAUUACUGUUUUUAAUAAAAUACUGUAAUAUACUGUGAGUAGCAUUGCAUUUUGGGAAUGAUGUUAGAUUCAACGGCAAGGAGGCUCUCUUUAAACAGAACGCUACUGUAUUUCACAAGAAGACACGUUGUUGUGACAUGUGGAAGCAACCUCUAGAAUUUUCUUUACAAGGACUAUCCAUUUGAAUCCUGCAUUUUAUGAGCCAAUCCGGUGGAAAAGACCAUGUGACUGCUGGGCACUGGAUGAUCAGUCUUGAGAGCCAUAUUGUAUGUGAGGGCAUUCAACCAACCUUUGUGACCGGGCUUGCUGCACUGUUUUCAAUGUACUACACCUACAAUAUCAAGAAGAGGCUGCAUGUACACUUGAAUUCAUCCAGAGGCACUUUCUUGAUAUCAACACUGAAAGAGGGACCAAGGCCAGCUGUGGCAAGAUCGUCUCCAAGAGGACAGGAAAUACUGUUCAAAAGAAGUUGGUCACUGUCAACCCCUGUGUCUCAACUCUGCUAAAAAAACCUCAUGGACUUCGAGUGGAAUUUCAUAUAGGUUAGUGAGAACUUUCUAACCAGGCUAUAAAUAUGGUUGCCCCUCCACGCAAAAACAAACAAACAAACAAAAAACUAUACAGGCAUGAAGGCAACUUAUCCCUGAACAGGAGUGUUCUUGAGAGAUUUUUUUUGGUUUAAAGGUCAACAUAAUCUUAGACAUCUCUUUUAAUUUAUAGCAUAAAUUUUGUUAAGGGUCCCACAUUCUGUUCUUCAGAUAUAAUUUGUAAUUUUGACUGUACAGGCACAAUGUUUAACUUAUCUUGGCAGUGUGUUGUCAAAUAUUGUUUCAUUGUCUUAUCAUUUGAAGUUGGAGCUCUGAUUUUGCCCUAAAGGAAAUUCAAGUCUAAAUGUUUCAUUUAAAUUUUUAUCAAACUAAAAUUUGCAAUUUUUUUCUAUGCUUUAGAUUGAAAGUUAAAUGUUUCAUUUGUUUUAUGUUGCAUCAUAUUGUUCCUCACUUCCACUAAAAGUAGUAUUUUGUAUUGAAAAAGUAGUGUGCUGAGUUGUACAAUGCAUUAUUUCAUAAUUUCUUUCAUACUUAUUUUAUUUCAGAUUAAUCAAAAGGCCACAAUUCAUGCUUUAUUCAAAAACUCUUUAAAUCAGUUAUUAAGAAAUUUAUUUUACAAAAUAGAUGGGGAUUUUCUUACUGUUUUUCCAGAAUACGACUUACUUUGGACAGUUUACCCUCAACAUACUUGUAGAAAAGGUUUAGGUUUAAGGCACACAUACGUUGUCGUUUCAAAACCUUCUUCUUUAUUAUGUGGCCCACUAAAGACUGUGUAUGAGUCAAUGUUUGAGUUGGUGCUUUUUUUUCCCAAAUAAAUGUUGGUUG